rnacentral:rRNA from 1 species
AGCAUCUAAGUGGGAAGCCCACCCCAAGAUGAGCACUCCCGCUUCUUCGGAAGCCUGAAGGGCCGUGGUAGAUCACCACGUCGAUAGGCGGCAGGUGUAAGCGGUGUAAGCCGCGAGCCGAGCCGUACUAAUUGCCCGUGUGGCUUGACUG